rnacentral:rRNA from 1 species
AAAGGAAUUGACGGGGACCCGCACAAGCGGUGGAGCAUGUGGUUUAAUUCGACGCAACGCGAGGAACCUUACCAGAUCUUGACAUCCUCAGAAUUUAUAGGAGACUAUGAAGUGCCUUCGGGAACUGAGAGACAGGUGGUGCAUGGCUGUCGACAGCUCGUGUCGUGAGAUGUUGGGUUAAGUCCCGCAACGAGCGCAACCCCUAUCGUUAGUUACUAACAUUAAGUUGAGGACUUUAGCGAGACUGCCUGCGAAGAGCAGGAGGAAGGUGGGGAUGACGUCAAGUCAUCAUGCCCCUUAUGAUCUGGGCUACACACGUGCUACAAUGGACGGUACAAAGAGAAGCGAAAUGGUGACAUGGAGCAAAUCAAAAAAUCCGUUCUCAGUUCGGAUUGAAGUCUGCAACUCGACUUCAUGAAGUUGGAAUCGCUAGUAAUCGCGAAUCAGCAAUGUCGCGGUGAAUACGUUCUCGGGUCUUGUACACACCGCCCGU